rnacentral:rRNA from 1 species
GGUUAAGCUACAAAGGGCGCACGGUGGAUGCCUUGGCACUAGGAGCCGACGAAGGACGGGACGAACACCGAUAUGCCUCGGGGAGCUGUAAGUAAGCGUUGAACCGGGGAUUUCCGAAUGGGGAAACCCUCUACUCCUUAUCGAGUAGAAUCCAUCCUUGAAUAUAUAGGGGAUGAGAAGGCAGACCAGGGGAACUGAAACAUCUAAGUACCCUGAGGAAGAGAAAGCAAAUGCGAUUUCCUGAGUAGCGGCGAGCGAAACGGAAACAGCCCAAACCAGU